rnacentral:lncRNA from 1 species
UUUCCUUUCCUUUGUCCCUUGAUUCUCAAUGUAAAUCCCUCUCAAUUGCUCCAAUUCUAUCCAUUCUUACACUUUCAAUGCCUCUUCUGGUCUCCAACAAUACUCUUCGCCAUCAACAGUGACGCGGUCUCGAUAAUUUACCUUCUCCUUGUCGACAUGCCCACUUUCUGAAUCUAGCCAUUUCAGCUGCGACAAUUAUGCGAGUAGAAGAGAAGUCUUCCUCGAUGCUAGGUGUUUUCCAUUUCAUGAGCGAUUGUGCCUUCCGCUUCCUCUCCCAUGAACGAUGCCGCCUCCCCAUUCAGGUGUCUUGUAAUCUCGCG